rnacentral:rRNA from 1 species
GAUGAACGCUGGCGGCAUGCCUAACACAUGCAAGUCGAGCGAACGGACGAGAAGCUUUCUCCCCUGAUUGUAGCGGCGGACGGGUGAGUAACACGUGGAUAACCUACCUAUAAGACUGGGGUAAUUUCGGGAGACCGGAUCUAAUACCGGAUAAUAUUUUGAACCGCAUGAUCCAAAAGUUAAAGACGUUCUUGCUUACACUUAUAGCUUGAUCCGCGCUGCAUUAGCUAGGUGGUAAGGUAACUGCUUACCAAGGCUACGAUGCAUACCCGACCUGAAGGGGAGGAUGGACACCUGGGCACUGAGGAACGGCACAGACUCCUACGGGAGGACGCAGUCGGGAAUCUUACGCAAUGGGCGAAAGCCUGACGUAGCAAAGCCGGGUGAGUGAUGAAGGUCUUCGGAUCGGAAAAUUAUGUUAGUCGGGAAGAACAAAAGUGUAAGUAACUGUGAACAUCUUGACGGUACCUAAUCAAAAAGCCACGGCUAACUACGUG